rnacentral:rRNA from 1 species
AUACGUAGGUGACAAGCGUUAUCCGGAUUUACUGGGUGUAAAGGGCGUGUAGGCGGUUUAGCAAGUCAGAAGUGAAAUUCCCGGGCUUAACUUGGGCGCUGCUUCUGAAACUGCUUUACUUGAGUGCUGGAGAGGAUAGUGGAAUUCCUAGUGUAGCGGUAAAAUGCGCAGAUAUUAGGAGGAACACCGGUGGCGAAGGCGGCUAUCUUGACAGUAACUGACGCUGAGGCGCGAAAGCACGGGGAGCAAACAGGAUUAGAUACCCUGGUAGUCCGUGCCGUAAACGAUGAAUACUAGGUGUAGGGGGUAUCGACUCCCUCUGUGCCGCAGUUAACACAUUAAGUAUUCCACCUGGGGAGUACGGCCGCAGGGUUGAAACUCAAAUGAAUUGACGGGG